UCGGAGAGUUUGAUCCUGGCUCAGGACGAACGCUGGCGGCGUGCCUAAUACAUGCAAGUCGAGCGGACAGAAGGGAGCUUGCUCCCGGAUGUUAGCGGCGGACGGGUGAGUAACACGUGGGUAACCU
rnacentral:rRNA from 19 species